GGCGACCGGCGCACGGGUGGAGUAACACGUAUCCAACCUGCCGAUGACUCGGGGAUAGCCUUUUCGAAAGAAAGAUUAAUACCCGAUGGCAUAGUUCUUCCGCAUGGUGGAACUAUUAAAGAAUUUCGGUCAUCGAUGGGGAUGCGUUCCAUUAGGUUGUUGGCGGGGUAACGGCCCACCAAGCCUUCGAUGGAUAGGGGUUCUGAGAGGAAGGUCCCCCACAUUGGAACUGAGACACGGUCCAAACUCCUACGGGAGGCAGCAUG
rnacentral:rRNA from 1 species